AUGUGUUGUGUUACUUGACAUUUUUCUACUCGUAUGGUACUACUUUUUUGGAAUGAGAUCUCGAGUAGCUUAGCAAAG
ensembl:miRNA aca-mir-5392 aca-mir-5392